CGCUCUCUUCGGAGGGAGCGGCGGACGGGUGAGUAACGCGUGGGAAUAUGCCCAAAGGUACGGAACAACAGCUGGAAACGGCUGCUAAUACCGUAUGUGCCCUACGGGGGAAAGAUUUAUCGCCUUUGGAUUAGCCCGCGUUGGAUUAGGUAGUUGGUGAGGUAAUGGCUCACCAAGCCUACGAUCCAUAGCUGGUUUGAGAGGAUGAUCAGCCACACUGGGACUGAGACACGGCCUAG
rnacentral:rRNA from 1 species